rnacentral:lncRNA from 1 species
UUUCAGUGUUUGAACAAAAACAAGGUCUCCCGGUCGGAAUAUUAUCGCUUUUUUACGAGAAAAAUCGCAUAAAAAUUGAUUUUAAACAGCGUUUGACAUGCUUCGAAGUACGGUAAUGGAAUAUUUAGAAUUUUUUUGUCACGAUACACGCCGGCGUCACCUUUCGGAUACUGUCUUGAACACAAGAACAAAACGCAGCUAUUUGGAUAUAACUAUGGAUUAUUUGGAACCAAAACAGCAUAGGAUGUCGGUGGGCGGAGCCUGGAGGGUCGUUAGCGAAAUGGGACACACCUUGGCUCGGGUGUGUCCCGGGAUAAAUACUUCCCCAUUCAUUGAAGACUCUCUCCAUGCAUCAUAUUGUUUGGUUGUGGCAUUUUUGUGUUUGUUUUGUUUGUUUGCUUUGGCACCAUUCAAAAUGAGUCAUCUUUACUUUAUAGAAUGUACAGUAGAAACAAACAGGAAGUGACAGAAUUGCUUCAGUAAAAGCUUUUUUAGCAACCUGAAAUUGCUGCCAGUGAUCAACAACAAAUCCAACAUACAUGGCCUUUGGUUCCAAAUGUGUAAAAAUAAAACACAAUUACAGUAAAGAAGGGAAAAAACACAAAAAUGCACAGUCCUGUUCUAAUCUAUACAAUCUUCAGCAUUUGGCCACAUGCUAGGUGCCUU